UGAGAGACAGGUAGUACGUUACCGCUUCGUUUAUUUCAUUUAUAGAAAUAAACUUAGCUGAAAACAUGAAUAUAUAGAAUUCAAAUUUUUAGGACCUUAGAUACCAAUCACCAAACUCUUUAGCACUUGUGAUAGUGACAGUCGGUGCGACUUCCACAAAUAUUAAUAUUGAGAAAUGUUAGGAAAGGAUGGAGGAAGAGUAGCUUUCAUAGGUGAGUUGUAUGACGCAUCUUGCCCCACUUUUCAAGGAAAAU
rnacentral:lncRNA from 1 species